rnacentral:tRNA from 1 species
GCGGGAAUAGCUCAGUUGGUAGAGCAUAACCUUGCCAAGGUNNAGGUUGGGGUCGCGAGUUCGAGUCUCGUUUCCCGCUCCA